AGCCUUCGCUCUGAUUGGAGAAACUGGCUCCUAGACAGAGGGGGACCUUGAGUUACCGCGGACUGGCUGUCUAGCUGUAAUGGGGGGCCUGGCCCCGGGCACUCAACCGUCAGAAUUAGCUAAUUGUUAUACAAUAUAGCUAGGUAGCUAAUUAAAGACGGUGGCAGUCUGGUUAAGGUAGGCUUGUAUGGGGUUCUCUCCCCGCAAGUUUGCCUGUGAUUUUAUACCUACGCGAAUGCAGCACGGUUGCAGUAAAAUUGGAACUUCAGCAGCGCGAGCUAGCCCAGCCCCCGCUAGCUGGCUAGCGAACGAGAAUUUGCUAGCGGAUCGGGGCUUCAGUCCGUAUCAGCUUAACCCUCAAACGGAAAUGAACACAGGCUAUGAUGAAUCCUCUGAGAGAAGACUGCAAGUCACUGCCAGUCAGACAAAAGGGGAUCCGCAACGAAACGGCUCACCGUUCCUUCCCUUCCUUCCUGGAAGAAACACUGUCACCCUAAAGAGCAAAUGGAAAAAUGACAUCUGUAUAUUUUAGUUUCAUAUUUUUUUGUUAACAUGUCUAACUUUUUAUUUUAUUUUGGUGUGUGGGGGUAUAGAUGAGAUCAUGAUGACUCUGAAGUUUCAUACCUUCUCUCUCUCUUAUCUGUGAUUUAUUAACAUGUUCGAUAUACAGUAGCCUGUAAGGGACUCUAAGCCUUGACGAUAUGUUUUGUAUUUCGGGAAGGAGAGGAAAAGACUCAGGAAUGUAGUAAUAACACCGAUACCUGGCUGACUUGAGCAGAGUCUCCUACAUCUGAGACCUAGCCUGGUCCCGAGAUCUGUUUGUGCUGUCUUCCGUGACAUUGGCAAGAUGGCACAAACCGAUUUGGAACCAGGCGAGCAGAGGCCCAACAUCUGCGUUUUCAAACUCUACCGGUGGCCCCUUUUUUGGGGGGGCUGAGUAUAGUAACUGACAGGCAGCAGCAUGUCAUCCACUCUUCCACAGAACAUAGUUGAAACAGCUGCUGGAUCCUCCAUGUUUUAACACUCAUCCAGUUCUAUCUGCUCUGUUCACCUCACACACUCAUCAGCAUUGAUCUCUGCUUAACACCAUGUGUAGUUAGGCCUAGACUUAUCAUUGUCUGUACAAACACACUUUAAAAAAAUUAAUCAAAUGUUUAUUUGUGACAUGCUUCAUGAACUACAGGUGUAGACUAACAGUGACAUUCUUUAAGAGUCUUUUUCGAACAAUUCAGAGUUUAAAUCUUGAAAGGGAGUGGUUCCACCUCGACGCAUAACCAUUCAAACAUUGGGUUCGGUAUUUUACCUCUAAUAGUCCUAAUCCUUCAGCUCUUUAGGUGAUUCACACCCUUCAGCUCUCAAAAAUCCUCUGCUCAUUCUCAAAACUCAUAUUUACAUACUCUAAAGUAUUUACUGAGGCUAAGAGUCCCCCCCUUUUUUCCAUUUUAGAUUACUAAAUGCUUGGUAGUUCAUUUUUUAAAUUGUAUUUUAUUUUUUUUAUGUAGUAUUUUAAGUUUCGAAUGUUUACGUUGCAAACUAGUAUAAAACCACGUGUAGACACAGUCAUGUACGCUGUGAUGUAUAGAAAUGCAUUGUUUCCUUGUGGUAAGUGAGUGAGAUGCUGCCACGGAACUGAGACACUGAUGAUUGGUGCUAUUUUGGACUUUAAUCUGCUCCUUGGAAAGGUAGCUGAGAUGGGUUUUAUUUUUUAUUUUCAUGUUCUGAUUAAGGAAGGGGUUGGUUCUUUGACGUUUGGUUGUUGUAACUCGGUCUGGAUUGGCUUUGUUUUCCCCUUGUCGUUUUCUGUGCGGCUUUCUCAUUGGACUUAAGGAAAAUAUCAACUUCUUUCAUGGUAAUGUUUUACUAAAGGGGGGUUUAGGUGAGAAUAUUUAUGAGGAUACACCAUGUUGAUCGGAGCAAUCACAAAACUGCAAUCAUUAACACUAGUUAGCCUUUAAACCUGAGAUGUGCAAUCAAAGGAGCACCACAAGUCACUUUUUAGAACAUUUUACGGUUUUUGUUUAUGUUCUGAUUGACAGACAAUCUGGAAACCAAGAGUGCAUUUUUCCCCUCACGUGUUUGUUUAACAGAUCUCCUAAGCGAUUUUGCACACUUGUGUGUCAAGGCCCAGCCUGUUAGGGUUCAGGGUUUCAACUUUUCUUCACCAGCUGGAUAUGACUUCAUGCUAUAGUGAGUCAUGUGUGAUUAUCUCAUGUUAACAUGAGUCUGGAAUCACACAAUGCAUUUUAUCUUGUUUUAGAAAACCAUUUUCAGGGCACACAUGUAUCAUAAAGUGAACUCUGUUUUAAAAAUAUAUAUAUUUUUCAUUGUCUUUGAAUUAUUUAGUAAAUUAAUUGUUGACUGAACCUUUUUAUUAAACAACUAAAACCCCAAAGUUUUUUUAAAAUUUUAGCAACAAAAAAAAAUUGACAACUAGGGUUAAGGGCCUUGCUCAAGGGCACAUUGACAGAUUUUUCUCCUAGUUGUCUCGGGGAUUCAAACCAGCAACCUUUCAGUUACUGGCCCAAUGCUCUUAGCCUAGUGGUUAUCUGCCACCCUAGCUAGAGAUUUAAAACAUCAAAGUUAUGUCAGUAUUUGCAGUUUUGUUUUUGCUUCCCUUUUUUUAUAUUGUUAAAUAUUCUAAUUAAUAAUAACCAACUUGAAAGCCCACUUUAGUUGUCUUUUGUCUUCCAUUCUCUCUCGAUAUUGGGACCGAUUGAACCAGCAUGUUCUGUUCUUGUUAAUUGCGUGCUCUCUUUUCGUCAUUGUGGUUUUUGUUUUGUGAAGAAAGAAAAAAUAUCCUCUUGCAAUUCUUUCCUCAUAGACUACUUAAUAUGAAUGCUGUUUUGUACAUAGCAAAGUGAAUAGCGUAGGCAGGCUGUGUUGCGUGAGGUAUUCAGUAUUUACCACUAAGGUUGAAAAAAUAUAUAUACAGUAUGCCAGCUUUGGGAAAAUGAUUAUAACGAUGCGCUUAACUUACAGUAUCCCAUGUACUUUACUUUGGCAAUUUUAGAAGUAGUGCAAUAAAUAUGCAAGCUUGUAAUUUGGUGUUUUA